rnacentral:lncRNA from 1 species
AAGUAAUGAGAAAUAUUACUGAUACACUUCAAAAUAGAAUGUAUAUUUUACAUCUAUUUAUUUUAAAAGUCAAUAAUUCUCUAUCUGUCAUAUCAAUUUUUUUAUUUUUACUAAAAAUUAUUUGGAUUUUUGUGAAUUCUAGGAUCGGAGGUACGUAUAAGAUUUUUCUAUUUUUUUGGGAAUAUACAAGUAAAUUUUUUUAUAAUUAAUAUCAAAAAAGUAAUACUAUAUGCACUCUUAUAUGUAAUGUGCCAAAUACUGCUAUUUUUUUUACUAGUCAUAUUAAAUUUUUGAAUAAAUAUGAUAUAAAAUUUAUAUCUAUAUAGGGGGAGAGAGGAAGCAAUUUUCUUUUCCUAAUAAAAAAUACAAUAAACUUCAAAUACCAUCCCUGAAGUAUCGCAGUUUCUCACUUUGGUAUUCUGUAGUUUGAAAUGUAUUACUUUAGUACCAUGUGAUUUAAUUUUUCUUUUUCCGUCAAUUAACUUUCUCACUAAUUUAACGAAAAAAUUAACAGAGAGGAUAAUAAAAAUUAAAAAAAAAGAAACAAAAAUCAGAGAGUACUAAAGUAAUAUAUUUUAAACUAUAUGAAAUUAUACGAUACUUAAAUGAGACAGUACUAAACGACAAGGGUU